CCUACGGGUGGCUGCAGUGGGGAAUUUUGGACAAUGGGGGCAACCCUGAUCCAGCCAUUCCGCGUGAGUGAAGAAGGCCUUCGGGUUGUAAAGCUCUUUCAGCAGGAACGAAACGGCGAGUACUAAUACUGCUCGCUAAUGACGGUACCUGAAGAAGAAGCACCGGCUAACUACGUGCCAGCAGCCGCGGUAAUACGUAGGGUGCGAGCGUUAAUCGGAAUUACUGGGGGUAGAUCUGGAACAGGCGGUUGAAAUCCCCGGGCUUAACCUGGGAACUGCGCUUGUGACUGCACAGCUAGAGUAUGGCAGAGGGGGGUGGAAUUCCACGUGUAGCAGUGAAAUGCGUAGAGAUGUGGAGGAACACCGAUGGCGAAGGCAGCCCCCUGGGCCAAUACUGACGCUCAUGCACGAAAGCGUGGGGAGCAAACAGGAUUAGAUACCCCAGUAGUC
rnacentral:rRNA from 1 species